rnacentral:rRNA from 1 species
CCCUUAGAUGUUCUGGGCUGCACGCGUGCUACACUGAUAUUGCCAAUAUGUCAUUCUUAUCCGAAAUGGAUUGGGUAAUCAAGUAAUGAAAUUUCAUGCUUGGAAUCGGUAAUUGCAAUUUUAUCGUGAACGAGGAAUUCCUAGUAAGCGCGAGUCAUCAACUCGCGUUGAUUACGUCCCUGCCCUUUGUACACACCGCCCGUCGCUACUACCGAUUGAAUGGCUUAGUGAGGCCUCAGGAUCCGCGCUUAAUGUGUGGAGAAUUUGGACAAACUACGUCAUUUAGAGGAAGUAAAAGUCGUAACA